rnacentral:rRNA from 1 species
CCUACGGGCGGCUGCAGUGGGGAAUAUUGGGCAAUGGGCGCAAGCCUGACCCAGCAACGCCGCGUGAAGGAAGAAUGCUUUCGGGUUUUAAACUUCUUUUCUUAGGGACGAAGAAAGUGACGGUACCUCAGGAAUAAGCCACGGCUAACUACGUGCCAGCAGCCGCGGGAAUACGGAGGCCGCAAGCUUUAUCCGGAUUUAUUGGGUGUAAGGCGCGUGUAGGCGUGACAGCAAGUCAGAUGUGAAAACUCAGGGCUCAACCCUGAGCCUGCAUUUGAAACUGUUUGUCUUGAGUGCUGGAGAGGCAAUCGGAAUUCCGUGUGUAGCGGUGAAAUGCGUAGAUAUCAGGAGGAACACCAGUGGCGAAGGCGGAUUGCUGGACAGUAACUGACGCUGAGGCGCGAAAGCGUGGAGAGCAAACAGGAUUAGAUACCCCAGUAGUC